GACGAACGCUGGCGGCGUGCUUAACACAUGCAAGUCGAACGGAAAGGCCCUGCUUUUGUGGGGUGCUCGAGUGGCGAACGGGUGAGUAACACGUGAGUAACCUGCCCUUGACUUUGGGAUAACUUCAGGAAACUGGGGCUAAUACCGGAUAGGAGCUCCUGCUGCAUGGUGGGGGUUGGAAAGUUUCGGCGGUUGGGGAUGGACUCGCGGCUUAUCAGCUUGUUGGUGGGGUAGUGGCUUACCAAGGCUUUGACGGGUAGCCGGCCUGAGAGGGUGACCGGCCACAUUGGGACUGAGAGACGGCCCAGACUCCGACGGGAGGCAGCAGUGGGGAAUAUUGCACAAUGGGCGGAAGCCUGAGGCAGCAACGCCGCGUGCGGGAUGACGGCCUUCGGGUUGUAAACCGCUUUCGCCUGUGACGAAGCGUGAGUGACGGUAAUGGGUAAAGAAGCACCGGCUAACUACGU
rnacentral:rRNA from 1 species